rnacentral:rRNA from 1 species
GUUGUAUAGUCAAGUAAUUAAGUGCAUGUGGUGGAUGCCUUGGCAGUCAGAGGCGAUGAAAGACGUGAUAGCCUGCGAAAAGCUCCGGGGAGGCGGCAAAUAUCCUUUGAUCCGGAGAUGUCUGAAUGGGGGAACCCACCUACUUUAAGGUAGGUAUUGCAACAUGAAUACAUAGUGUUGCAAGGCGAACGAGGGGAAGUGAAACAUCUCAGUACCCUUAGGAAAAGAAAUCAAUUGAGAUUCCCUCAGUAGCGGCGAGCGAACGGGGAUCAGCCCAUUAAGUUAUGUGUGUUUUAGUGGAACGCUCUGGGAAGUGCGAACGUAGAGGGUGAUAUUCCCGUACACGAAAGGGCACACAUAAUGAUGACGAGUAGGGCGAGGCACGUGAAACCUUGUCUGAAUAUGGGGGGACCAUCCUCCAAGGCUAAAUACUCCUGACUGACCGAUAGUGAACCAGUACCGUGAGGGAAAGGCGAAAAGAACCCCUGUGAGGGGAGUGAAAUAGAUCCUGAAACCGCAUGCAUACAAGCAGUGGGAGCACCUUCGUGGUGUGACUGCGUACCUUUUGUAUAAUGGGUCAGCGACUUAUAUUCAGUAGCGAGGUUAACCGUAUAGGGGAGCCGUAGAGAAAUCGAGUCUUAAUAGGGCGUUUAGUUGCUGGGUAUAGACCCGAAACCAGGCGAUCUAUCCAUGAGCAGGUUGAAGGUUGGGUAACACUAACUGGAGGACCGAACCCACUGUCGUUGAAAAGCCAGGGGAUGACUUGUGGAUAGGGGUGAAAGGCUAAUCAAGCCUGGUGAUAGCUGGUUCUCCCCGAAAGCUAUUUAGGUAGCGCCUCGGACGAAUACCAUAGGGGGUAGAGCACUGUUUCGGCUAGGGGGUCAUCCCGACUUACCAAACCGAUGCAAACUCCGAAUACCUAUGAGUACUAUCCGGGAGACAGACUGCGGGUGCUAACGUCCGUAGUCAAGAGGAAAACAAUCCAGACCGCCAGCUAAGGCCCCAAAAUCAUAGUUAAGUGGGAAACGAUGUGGGAAGGCAUAGACAGCUAGGAGGUUGGCUUANNNNNNNNNNNNNNNNNNNNNNNNNNNNNNNNNNNNNNGAAGCAGCCACCCUUUAAAGAAAGCGUAAUAGCUCACUAGUCGAGUCGGCCUGCGCGGAAGAUGUAACGGGGCUAAAACUAUGUGCCGAAGCUGCGGAUGUAUACUUUGUAUACGUGGUAGGGGAGCGUUCUGUAAGCCGAUGAAGGUGUGUUGAGAAGCNNNNNNNNNNNNNNNNNNNNNNNNNNNAUGCUGGAGGUAUCAGAAGUGCGAAUGCUGACGUGAGUAACGACAAAACGGGUGAAAAACCCGUUCGCCGAAAGACCAAGGGUUCCAGUCCAACGUUAAUCGGGGCUGGGUGAGUCGACCCCUAAGGCGAGGCCGAAAGGCGUAGUCGAUGGGAAAAUGGUUAAUAUUCCAUUACUUCUGUGUAAUGCGAUGAGAGGACGGAGAAGGCUAAAUCAGCCUGGCGUUGGUUGUCCAGGUGAAAGGAUGUAGGCAUGUAUCUUAGGCAAAUCCGGGGUACUCUAUGCUGAGAUCUGAUAGCAAGCUGUACUUGUACAGCGAAGUGGUUGAUGCCAUGCUUCCAGGAAAAGUCUCUAAGCUUCAGUUACACAGGAAUCGUACCCGAAACCGACACAGGUGGUCAGGUCGAGUAGACCAAGGCGCUUGAGAGAACUCUGCUGAAGGAACUAGGCAAAAUGGUACCGUAACUUCGGGAGAAGGUACGCUGUUGUUGGUGAUGGAACUCGCUUCCUGAGCUGACGACAGCCGCAGAAACCAGGCCGCUGCAACUGUUUAUUAAAAACAUAGCACUCUGCAAACACGAAAGUGGACGUAUAGGGUGUGAUGCCUGCCCGGUGCUGGAAGGUUAAUUGAUGGGGUUAGCGUAAGCGAAGCUCUUGAUCGAAGCCCCAGUAAACGGCGGCCGUAACUAUAACGGUCCUAAGGUAGCGAAAUUCCUUGUCGGGUAAGUUCCGACCUGCACGAAUGGCAUAAUGAUGGCGGCGCUGUCUCCAGCAGAGGCUCAGUGAAAUCGAAAUCGCUGUGAAGAUGCAGUGUACCCGCGGCUAGACGGAAAGACCCCGUGAACCUUUACUGCAGCUUGACACUGAACUUUGACCUUACUUGUGUAGGAUAGGUGGGAGGCUUUGAAGCUGGAACGCUAGUUCCAGUGGAGCCGUCCUUGAAAUACCACCCUGGUAAUGUUGAGGUUCUAACUCUGUCCCGUGAUCCGGGACGAGGACCGUGUCUGGUGGGUAGUUUGACUGGGGCGGUCUCCUCCUAAAGAGUAACGGAGGAGUACGAAGGUGCGCUCAGCGUGGUCGGAAAUCACGCGUAGAGUAUAAAGGCAAAAGCGCGCUUAACUGCGAGACCCACAAGUCGAGCAGGUACGAAAGUAGGUCUUAGUGAUCCGGUGGUUCUGUAUGGAAGGGCCAUCGCUCAACGGAUAAAAGGUACUCUGGGGAUAACAGGCUGAUACCGCCCAAGAGUUCAUAUCGACGGCGGUGUUUGGCACCUCGAUGUCGGCUCAUCUCAUCCUGGGGCUGAAGCAGGUCCCAAGGGUAUGGCUGUUCGCCAUUUAAAGAGGUACGCGAGCUGGGUUUAGAACGUCGUGAGACAGUUCGGUCCCUAUCUACCGUGGGCGCUGGAAAUUUGAGAGGAUCUGCUCCUAGUACGAGAGGACCAGAGUGGACGAACCUCUGGUGUACCGGUUGUGACGCCAGUCGCAUCGCCGGGUAGCUAUGUUCGGAAGGGAUAACCGCUGAAAGCAUCUAAGCGGGAAGCCUACCUCAAGAUAAGAUUUCCCUAGGACUUUAUGUCCUCUAAAGAGCCGUUCGAGACUAGGACGUUGAUAGGUUGGAUGUGGAAGCAUAGUGAUAUGUGAAGCUGACCAAUACUAAUUGCUCGUGAGGCUUGACUAUACAACACCCAAGCAGUUG